ACCUUUGUUUUGACCAGCAAAUCACACUUUACAGGAGGGAAGGCACGAGGACCAAUUUCAAAAAGGAAAAAUAGGGAUAACAUACACAGACGGACUCCAACUUAUGCUCAUCAGUGAUUCUUGAGGGGAAGCUUUCAGGAGCUCUGGGGGAAAAUCACAAAGACUACUGUGUGGAGAAUGGACUAGAAUGAGAAAGAGAGGAGAUUCUGAGACUGACUGAAAGACUGUCCUAGUAAUCCAGGAUAGAUGGUGGUCACUUGGACUAAGGUAUAGCAGUAACUGGAUUCAAGACUUGUUUUGAUAAUCAUCUCCACAGCAACUAUUCUAUCACAAAGGACGAUGCCUGUGAGUGAGAAGUGAUCAGCAGGAGCUGAGCAACACUUAAGUAGCAGAGAUUCUAUUUUCAUACAAAUAUCUCUAAUUAUAAUAAGCUAAGGAAGAAAUACAUCAUUCUUCCCCUCACCGCCUCCUCCAAUACAAGCAGAGCUAUCGCUACAUAGUUUCUCACAAAAAUAGGGUACCUCCCGCUACAGACAGACUUAAUAAGAGCAUAUCCCUAUGUAGAGAUGAUCGCCACCUCUUAUUGCAAGGCAUGCAAGACCUUACUGAAGGGUCAGGGAUAAUACAAUGAAUAUCGCAUUAAGAGUAAUGGAUCACAGGCUACUAGAUAAUUGCUCAGGGCCUACAAGCUCACCUGAUGCUCCUAGAGAAAAUUUCAUAAGCCCCUACAGCUAGUUUCUGACAUGGCUACAUGUGCAGAAGCUAGCUUUACCCCUAGAAGGCCAGUUAUCCUUAGGCACAGUGCCUAAGGCCCAUAAUACUUUUAGGGACCCAUGAACAUGUGGAAUUUUUAAAAUGGAUACAAUUAUAAUAAAUACGUGUAAAUUAUAAUAAUGAAUCGAGCCUGGAUUAUACAUCACAAUCAUAAAAUAAAAUGUGUAUUGAGCAGAAUAAUGAAAUAAAAAAUAGAUCCACACAUACUAUACAGUCAAUUGAGUAUUUACCAGGUGCCAAGUCAAUUCAAUGGGAUAGGGAAGUCUUUUAAACAAAUGGUGUUGGAACAACUGGGAAAAUGUAUGAAAAAAAAUAAAACCUGAGUAUUUUCUUUGGCAGCACAUACUACAAUUGGAAUGAUACAGAAAAGAAUAGUAUGGCCUUUGUACGGGGAUGAUAUGCAAAUUCAUGAAGCAGUCCAUAUUUUUCAGAAAGUUGAUCUUACGUGUUCUCACCACACAAAAAAUAGUAACUAUGUGAGGUGAUGGAAAUGUUAAUUAGCUUGAUUGUGUUACUAUCUUUAUAAUGUUUACAUACAUUUUUAAUUAGAUCAAUCUGAUUAAAUAAUAGGCAAAAACCUUAACAGACACCAAGAAGAUAUACAGUUGGCAAAUAAGUAUGAAAAUAUGAUCAAUAUCAUAUGUCAUUAAGCAAUUGCAAAUUAAAACAAUAAUGAGAUACCAAUGUCACCUAUCAGAAUGACCAUCUAAAUGUUGGUGAGGGUGUAAAGCAACAGGAAUUCUCACUCAUUGCUAAUGGGCAUGCAAAACGGUACAGUCACUUGAGAAGGCUGUUUGACAGUUCCUUACAAAACUAACAUCUUCUACCAUAUGAUCAAGCAAUCGUACUCCUUGAUAUUUACUUAAAUGAGUUGAAAGGUUAUGUCCACACAAAAACCUGCACAUGGAUGCUUAUAGCUGCUUUAUUCAUUAAUUGCAAAAACAUGGAAGCAACCAAGAUGUCCUUCUGUAGGUGAAUGGAUAAAUAAACUCUGGUAUAUCCAGACAAUAGAAUGUUAUUCAGCGCUCAAAAGAAAUG